GACUUUACAUAUGUCGAAAAAGGUUUUUUUUUUAGUUAAUAUCAGUACAAGUGCGCGCGUAAUUAUUGCAACAAUCAAAAAGUUUAAUAAAACAAGUGAUUAUAAAUGAACAGAUAUAAUAAUAAUCAGUAAAAAUUUCUCAACAGUGCCAAGUGUCUUUCGUAUUUUAAUAACAGAUUUUUUUCAUUGUUGGUGAUAUAUUCCUGAAUCAGAAAUGAUCUCCUAGGAUCAAUUUGGAAAUUGAUAACAAAGUGGAUGCAGAAUUCUUUCAUGCGCCGAGAUAUAACUUAUGAAGGAAAGCGAUUUCUGUGCAUAUUUGACGUAUUUUUCAAAAUAAUGUCCUAUUUGAAAAAAAAAAAAAAAAAAAUAAGAUGAGGAAAUCUUCGAGAGUUGUCCCCGAAGUUAUCAAUUUUAGCCCAUGGGAAUUCGUAAUUGAGACAUUUGGACUUAUUUAUGUUCAACGUUGAAUUACUUUGAAACCUAAAAGACUUAUAAAAAAGGAAUAGGAAAUAUUAAGUUUUAACAAUUUAUUACAUAAAUUUAAAAUAAUAUUUUAAAAAUUAAUAAAUCAAUAGACAAAAAGAGAGCUUAAGGUAUUUGAUGAAGAAUAAUUAAAAAUGUGAAAUGAAGUUUUUUUUACCAUAAUGCAGCAGAAAUAAUAAAAAAUUGCUAAAAAGGUGUCUAAUACUGAAUAUUAUCAAGAAGUAACUUAAGUAUCGAGAGUUUACAUGUUGUACAUUCUGUCAACACCAGCAUAAAAAAUAUAAAGAGGCAGAUAUAUUUAACAGUGCUAAUUGGAAGGUGUUAUAAUAACUGAAAUAAAUUUUUAUUUCGUCAAUUAAACUUGAAUGGCAAAGGAUGAAAAAUUUUGUUUAAGGUAUUUGAUGAAGAAUAAUUAAAAAUGUGAAUUGAAGUUAUUUUUACCAUAAUGCAGCAGAAAUAAUAAAAAAUUGCUAAAAAGGUGUCUAAUACUGAAUAUUAUCAACAAGUAACUUAAGUAUCGAGAGUUUACAUGUUGUACAUUCUGUCAACACCAGCAUAAAAAAUAUAACGAGGCAGAUAUAUUUAACAGUGCUAAUUGGAAGGUGUUAUAAUAACUGAAAUAAAUUUUUAUUUCGUCAAUUAAACUUGAAUGGCAAAGGAAGAAAAAUUUUGUUUAAGGUAUUUGAUGAAGAAUAAUUAAAAAUGUGAAUUGAAGUUAUUUUUACCAUAAUGCAGCAGAAAUAAUAAAAAAUUGCUAAAAAGGUGUCUAAUACUGAAUAUUAUAAACAAGUAACUUAAGUAUCGAGAGUUUACAUGUUGUACAUUCUGUCAACACCAGCAUAAAAAAUAUAAAGAGGCAGAUAUAUUUAACAGUGCUAAUUGGAAGGUGUUAUAAUAACUGAAAUAAAUUUUUAUUUCGUCAAUUAAACUUGAAUGGCAAAGGAUGAAAAAUUUUGUUUAAGGAGUGCGGAGUCACUGCAGUAGCGUAAGUUAACUAUAUCAGUACUUAAUUGAAAUGUG